GGAAAUUUGAGAAGACCUGUCCUUAGUACGAGAGGACCGGGAUGGACGUACCUCUGGUGUACCAGUUGUUCUGCCAAGGGCAUGGCUGGGUAGCUAUGUACGGAAUGGAUAAGCGCUGAAAGCAUCUAAGCGCGAAGCCAACUUCAAGAUAAGAUUUCCCACCGCAAGGGUAAGACUCCAGAAAGACUAUCUGGUUGAUAGGUCGAAGGUGUAAGUGCAGCAAUGUAUUUAGCUUAUCGAUACUAAUAGGUCGAGGACUUGACCAAU
rnacentral:rRNA from 1 species